rnacentral:rRNA from 1 species
UACGUAGGGGGCAAGCGUUGUCCGGAUUCACUGGGCGUAAAGCGCGUGUAGGCGGCGCCUCAAGUCGGGUGUGAAAUCUUUCAGCUUAACUGGAAAAGUGCCUCCGAUACUGAUCGUCUCGAGGGAGGUAGGGGCAUGUGGAACUUCCGGUGGAGCGGUGAAAUGCGUAGAUAUCGGAAGGAACGCCGGUGGCGAAAGCGACGUGCUGGACCUCUUCUGACGCUGAGGCGCGAAAGCCAGGGGAGCAAACGGG